CAGAUCAGAGCCCAGGCAGACAUCUUGGAUGAUGGGUGACAGGGUACAUCUUGCCAUCCAGAGGCAAUGCUGGAGCGGGCAGUUGUCUGCGGUGAGGCCCUGGCUCACUCUGGGCCAAAUAACAGGACUGAUUGCAGCCAGCGAUGAAACAUCCUGUUUCUCCCAACCAGAAACAGGUAGAGAGGAGAGAAGAGCUCCAGUGAGAGAGUGAAGCAGAUGAAAAGAUACCAUGAAAACCAACCAAGCAACGAACAAACAAACAAAAUAACCCAUUUCAAGUUCUCAGAGCCUGGUCUCAUUUCCAGCUGGAAAUUACUGCUGCAGACUGCAGGGUGGUCCCUGCACUCCCUGUGUACAUGAUCUAGUGGUUGCUAAUGUGAGCUGCUUUAGGAUGGAAGAUGAGGCUUGCUUUUUCUUUCUCCUAGAAGUCAGCAUUUUACAUGAUUCUGGGAGGGAAGAAAGGAGACAGGAACCAAGGAGCCUUAGUAGGGAUUUGCCCACCGCUGGGGCAGCCAGGCUCCCGUCAGGAAGUCUUUUCAGAGGGAGUGUUGGAAGGAGUCGUCGAGGAGUCUUCCUCACCCAGGAAGUCUUCCUCACCGGGUGAGCCCCAACCUGCUGGACCUGCUCAGAAUUCGCCCAGCAGGGGAUCCUGGUUGACUGAGGUCUGCUAAUUCCAAUUCACCUAUGCUAAAUUCUCCCAGAAUGUCUUCAUCACCAAUGAAUCCCUUUCCACUGACACAAUGCCUGGAAGAACAUAAACUCUGUGACGAUAAAUGC
rnacentral:lncRNA from 1 species